UCAAACUUGGUCAUUUAGAGGAAGUAAAAGUCGUAACAAGGUUUCCGUAGGUGAACCUGCGGAAGGAUCAUUAUCGAGUUUUUGAACGGGUUGUCUGCUGGCUCGAAAGAGCAUGUGCACGCCUGGCUCAUCCACUCUCAACUUCUGUGCACUUUUCAUAGGCCGGCUUGUGGGUGUCGCGUUCGCGCGCACUUGUAGGUCUGGCUUAUGCUCUACCACAAACGAUUCAGUUAUAGAAUGUCUUUACUUUGCGAUAACGCAAUUAUAUACAACUUUCAGCAACGGAUCUCUUGGCUCUCGCAUCGAUGAAGAACGCAGC
rnacentral:misc_RNA from 1 species